AGGGAAUCUUCCGCAAUGGGCGAAAGCCUGACGGAGCAACGCCGCGUGAGUGAUGAAGGUCUUCGGAUCGUAAAACUCUGUUAUUAGGGAAGAACAAAUGUGUAAGUAACUAUGCACGUCUUGACGGUACCUAAUCAGAAAGCCACGGCUAACUACGUGCCAGCAGCCGCGGUAAUACGUAGGUGGCAAGCGUUGUCCGGAAUUAUUGGGCGUAAAGCGCGCGCAGGCGGAUUGGUCAGUCUGUCUUAAAAGUUCGGGGCUUAACCCCGUGAUGGGAUGGAAACUGCCAAUCUAGAGUAUCGGAGAGGAAAGUGGAAUUCCUAGUGUAGCGGUGAAAUGCGUAGAUAUUAGGAAGAACACCAGUGGCGAAGGCGACUUUCUGGACGAAAACUGACGCUGAGGCGCGAAAGCCAGGGGAGCGAACGGGAUUAGAUACCCCGGUAGUCCUGGCCGUAAACGAUGGGCACUAGGUGUAGGAGGUAUCGACCCCUUCUGUGCCGGAGUUAACGCAAUAAGUACCCCGCCUGGGGAGUACGACCGCAAGGUUG
rnacentral:rRNA from 1 species